UGUGCCCUACGGGACGCAGCAGUAGGGAAUCUUCCACAAUGGACGAAAGUCUGAUGGAGCAACGCCGCGUGAGUGAAGAAGGGUUUCGGCUCGUAAAGCUCUGUUGUUGGAGAAGAACGUGCGUGAGAGUAACUGUUCACGCAGUGACGGUAUCCAACCAGAAAGUCAAGGCUAACUACGUGCCAGCAGCCGCGGUAAUACGUAGGGGGCAAGCGGUAUCCGGAUUUAUUGGGCGUAAAGCGAGCGCAGGCGG
rnacentral:rRNA from 1 species